rnacentral:ncRNA from 1 species
UAUUUUGGUUCCAGAUAUUAUAUUACUUUUGACUAUACUUAUACAUGCUAGUUUCCGCACCCCUGUGAAAACGCCCUUCCCGGAGCCGGUAUCAGGCACACACCACACAGUAGCCCACAACACCUAGCACCGCCACCCCCCCACCGGGCUUCAGCAGUAAUAAACCCUGAGCAAUAAGCUAUGCUUGACUCGGUUAUAGUUACCUAGGGCCGGUAAACCCCGUGCCAGCCACCGCGGUUACACGUGAGGCCCAAAGCAAUAAAAACGGCGUAAAGAGUGUUUAUAGUAACUACUUUCCGUCUGGCGAUUAACCAAGUGUAACGUUGUAAAAUACCUUGUACACCUUAGGAAACACCACAACCCCACACAUGAAAGCCCCCUUACCCCACGACAGCACGGACUCAAACUAGGAUUAGAUACCCUACUAUGCCGUGCCAUUAACUAUGAUAAUCAUAUCCGCCAGAGAACUACGCGCUACCAGCGUGAAACUCAAAAAACUUGACGGUAUCUCACAUCUACCUAGAGGAGCCUGUUCUUUAAUCGAUAACCCACGCUAGACCUCUCCCACACUUGUACCAUCAGCCUAUAUACCUCCGUCGCCAGCCCGCCUGAUAACAGACACCAAGCGAGUACAAUAGCCUAACCACUAACACGACAGGUCAAGGUGUAGCUAAUGUGUGGGCUGUAAUGGGCUACAUUUUUUAUUAUAAAACAAACCCGAGUGUUAUGAAAACCCCACGAAAAGGUGGAUUUAGCAGUAAGCAAGGAUUAGCACGCCAACCUGAAACCUGCCCUGAGAUGCGU